GAUGAACGCUGGCGGCGUGCCUAAUACAUGCAAGUCGAGCGAACGGACGAGAAGCUUGCUUCUCUGAUGUUAGCGGCGGACGGGUGAGUAACACGUGGAUAACCUACCUAUAAGACUGGGAUAACUUCGGGAAACCGUAGCUAAUACCGGAUAAUAUUUUGAACCGCAUGGUUCAAAAGUGAAAGACGGUCUUGCUGUCACUUAUAGAUGGAUCCGCGCUGCAUUAGCUAGUUGGUAAGGUAACGGCUUACCAAGGCAACGAUGCAUAGCCGACCUGAGAGGGUGAUCGGCCACACUGGAACUGAGACACGGUCCAGACCCCUACGGGGGGCAGCAGUAGGGAAUCUUCCGCAAUGGGCGAAAGCCUGACGGAGCAACGCCGCGUGAGUGAUGAAGGUUUUCGGAUCGUAAACCUCUUUUAUUAGGGAAGAACAUAUGUGUAAGUAACUGUGCACAUCUUGACGGUACCUAAUCAAAAAGCCACGGCUAACUACGU
rnacentral:rRNA from 1 species